rnacentral:rRNA from 1 species
GACGAACGCUGGCGGCGUGCCUAAUACAUGCAAGUUGAGCGCUGAAGGUUGGUCCUUGUACCAACUGGAUGAGCAGCGAACGGGUGAGUAACGCGUGGGGAAUCUGCCUUUGAGCGGGGGACAACAUUUGGAAACGAAUGCUAAUACCGCAUAAAAACUUUAAACACAAGUUUUAAGUUUGAAAGAUGCAAUUGCAUCACUCAAAGAUGAUCCCGCGUUGUAUUAGCUAGUUGGUGAGGUAAAGGCUCACCAAGGCGAUGAUACAUAGCCGACCUGAGAGGGUGAUCGGCCACAUUGGGACUGAGACACGGCCCAAACUCCUACGGGAGGCAGCAGUAGGGAAUCUUCGGCAAUAGACGAAAGUCUGACCGAGCAACGCCGCGGGAGUGAAGAAGGGUUUCGGAUCGUAAAACUCUGUUGGUAGAGAAGAACGUUGGUGAGAGUGGAAAGCUCAUCAAGUGACGGUAACUACCCAGAAAGGGACGGCUAACUACGUG